UGGCUCCCGCUCUCACAUCCAUUGCAGUACAUUGAGCUCCAUAGAGACAGCGCCGGGGCAAGUGAGUGCCGGACGGGCACUGGGCGACUCUGUGCCUCACUGAGGAAAAAUAACUAAACAUGGACAAAGGAGAUCCUAAGAAGCCAAGAGGCAAAAUGUCAUCAUAUGCAUUUUUUGUGCAAACUUGUCGGGAGGAGCAUAAGAAUAAGCACCCAGAUGCUUCAGUCAACUUCUCAGAGUUUUCUAAGAAGUGCUCAGAGAGGUGGAAGACCAUGUCUGCUAAAGAGAAAGGAAAAUUUGAAGAUAUGGCAAAGGCAGACAAGGCCCAUUAUGAAAGAGAAAUGAAAACCUGUAUCCCUCCCAAAAGGGAGACAAAAAAAGAAGUUCAAGGAUCCCAAUGCACCCAAGAGGCCUCCUUUGGCCUUCUUCCUGUUCUGCUCUGAGUAUUGCCCAAAAAUCAAAGGAGAACAUCCUGGCCUGUCCAUUGGUGAUGUUGCGAAGAAACUGGGAGAGAUGUGGAAUAACACUGCUGCAGAUGACAAGCAGCCUUUUAUGAAAAGAAGGCUGCAAAGCUGAAGGAAAAAUAUGAAAGGGAUAUUGCUGCAUAUUGAGCUAAAGGAAAGCCUGAUGCAGCAAAAAAGGGAGUUGUCAAGGCUGAAAAAAGCAAGAAAAAGAAGGAAGAGGAGGAAGAUGAGGAAGAUGAAGAGGAUGAGGAGGAGGAGAAGGUGAAGAAGAUGACGAUGAUGAAUAAGUUGGUUCUAGCGCAGUUUUUUUCUUGUCUAUAAAGCAUUUAACCUCCCUGUACACAACUCACUCCUUUUAAAGAAAAAAAUUGAAAUGUAA